rnacentral:rRNA from 1 species
AUUGAACGCUGGCGGCAUGCUUUACACAUGCAAGUCGAACGGUAACAGGGUGCUUGCACCGCUGACGAGUGGCGAACGGGUGAGUAAUGCGUCGGAACGUGCCGAGUAGUGGGGGAUAACGCAGCGAAAGUUGUGCUAAUACCGCAUACGUACUGAGGUAGAAAGUGGGGGACCUUCGGGCCUCGCGCUAUUCGAGCGGCCGACGUCUGAUUAGCUAGUAGGUGAGGUAAAGGCUCACCUAGGCGACGAUCAGUAGCGGGUCUGAGAGGAUGAUCCGCCACCAUGGGACUGAGACACGGCCCAGACUCCUACGGGAGGCAGCAGUGGGGAAUUUUGGACAAUGGGCGAAAGCCUGAUCCAGCCAUGCCGCGUGUCUGAAGAAGGCCUUCGGGUUGUAAAGGACUUUUGUCGGGGAGGAAAUCCCCAGCGUUAAUACCGCUGGGGGAUGACAGUACCUGAAGAAUAAGCACCGGCUAACUACGUGCCAGCAGCCGCAGUAAAAC